rnacentral:piRNA from 1 species
UNCCAGUAUACUGGGUCCCAGUGCAGUGCC